ACAAAUCCAAAUUCAGUGUUAACAACAACCACUUAUAUAUAUUUGGACGUACAUAGAAAUUAGAUAUUUCUUAAUUGUUUGCAUAACAGAAAACAUACUGGCUGCAAUAGAAUGAAAGACUAACCUAUUGAUGAGCACAACAGUACAUACCAUCCCAUCAUGAGGUUGCCAUCUCUCACACUUGAUAAUUACAUCUUGUUAUUUCUAACAUGUACACCAUCGGGCGAUUGCUUUAUUAGAAAUAUAUUUACACAAUAUGAUCAGAGCAACAUCAAGGAGCCGGAUGCUGGUGCACAAAUUCUCCUCAAAUUCCACAUGCAACCAUUGUAGAGAAGAACGACAUAUUUUUCUUAGGUGACUUUUGAUCGAGCUCCUACAGAAAAGUUCAAAGAAAUCAUGAGGAGCAUGGAGCCAAGCAAACUAAUCAGAGUAAAUCAUGAGAGGAGAAGCCUCUCAACCUACUACAGGGAAUCAAGUCAACAUUAAUUUGUGUAAGAAUUAAACCGUAAUGUAGAUCAACAGAACCUGCUGACAUCACAAAACAAAUGUUUCGUCAACAGAAACUCCAGCGAAUGCCAAUUGGAUUAUAUAAGUAAGAUAGAGACAUCGAAAAAAAGAAAAGAUAAUUCUAAGAGUAUAUAUUCUAUUUUCUUACUUGACAUCACAGAGAAUGCAAGUCAAAGAAAUUGUGAUACAUCUUACCCUUCUAUAAAUUGACUGCAAGGCACAAUCCCCAGCAAAAUAUACAGAAUGAAUUGCUCCUAUGGUCCAAGUAUUGCAUAAAUAGUUAUAUACAUAAUAUUCAACAGUGAGCAUAAACAUGGCAUGUACUAACAAAAUCCUUUUGCUAUGGAGCUUAGUCUGCAUGUCUAUUCGUCUUUCUGUAUACUCUCCUAAAAGAAAAAAAUUAUUUCAAAUAAAUAAAUGAAAUAAUUGUCUGCAGAUAGUUUGCUUGAAUGAAUCAGGCCCAAGAAGACUCACGUCAAUCUUAGUAGAAUAUACAAGCAGCUAGCAAAUACAUCAUGCGGAGUCAGGAGGCACGAUGCACUAAGACUGAACAACAGAUCUGCGUGAAAACCUCAAAAUACCGGAUGAGGGUGGCGCCGCCGCCGCCGACGAGUGCAACCCAUGGGGACUCAGCUUAGGACGGCGAGGUGGUGUACGAUGAGCGAUGGCGCGCGGUGGCAGGCGCUAGGCACGGACGCGUCGACGACGGGUAUGACGGCCACUUGCUGCAAGGGUCAAACGAAGUCAAUCUGGGAUAGGAGAGAUGGGAGAGUCCAGGUAAGAGCAAUUGGGUAAGAGAGAGGGCGGAGGUGGGGAGGUGGGGAGAACAAAUGAAACACCUACCACCAAUAGCAUAGAAGAUGAAAUGAAGGACAUCCCAUCUGUUGUAAAACAACCGACAUUUACUCUAC
rnacentral:lncRNA from 1 species